GACCGUGCAAAGGUAGCAUAAUCAUUUGCCUUAUAAUUGAAGGCUAGUAUGAAUGGUUUGACGAGAAUCGAGCUGUCUCUCUUCAAUUAAAUAUAAUUUUAUUUACAGGUGAAGAAGCCUGUUUACUAUUGAAAGACAAGAAGACCCUAUCGAGCUUUAAGGAAUUUAGUAAACUUACAACAUAUUUAUAAAAAAGUGAGAUUAUUAAAGACUUUGGUUGGGGCGACUGAGGAACAAACAAAGCUUCCUUUAACUAAGAAAAACUUACAGGUAAUGAUCCAAUAAGAUUGAUUAAAGAAAUUAGUUACCGUAGGGAUAACAGCAUAAUCUCCUUCGAGAGUUCUCAUCGAAAAGGGGGUUUGUGACCUCGAUGUUGGACCAGAAUACCCAGAAGAUGCAGCCGUCUUCAAUGGUUGGUCUGUUCGACCAUUAAAAUUCUACGUGAUCUGAGUUCAGACCGGCGUGAGCCAGGUCAGUUUCUAUCUUCAAUUUACGAUGAUUGCUUUAGUACGAAAGGACCAAGCCAUUGCAAAAUUAGUUUGUAAUAUCCAUGAUUAAAUAUAAAGAUUAGUUUAAUUUAUAGGUAUCAAAUUAGCAAAGAAUAAUGCAAUUGACUUAGGAUCAAUAGACAUAGGUGAAAUCCCUUUAUUUGAUAUAUAAAGAUGGCAGAAGAA
rnacentral:rRNA from 1 species